AACGAACGCUGGCGGCGUGUUUAAGACAUGCAAGUCGCACGGGACUAUUUGAGUAGCAAUACAAGAAUAGUUUAGUGGCGCACGGGUGAGUAACACGUGAAUUACAUGCCCUGCAGAGGGGGAUAGCCCAGGGAAACUUGGAUUAAUACCCCAUGGUAUCGCAAGAUUAAAGGUGGCCGCAAGGCUGUCGCUGCAGGAUUGGUUCGCGCCCUAUCAGCUUGUUGGUGAGGUAACGGCUCACCAAGGCUACGACGGGUACCUGGGCUGAGAGGACGAUCAGGCACACUGGAACUGAGACACGGUCCAGAAACCUACGGGUGGCAGCAGUCGAGAAUAAUUCACAAUGGGGGCAACCCUGAUGGUGCAACGCCGCGUGGAGGAUGAAGGUCUUCGGAUUGUAAACUCCUGUCAUCCGGGAGUAAGACCUGGCGAUGAAUAGUCGACAGGGUUGAUAGUACCGGAAGAGGAAGGGACGGCUAACUUCGUGCCAGCCGCCGCGGUAA
rnacentral:rRNA from 1 species